rnacentral:rRNA from 1 species
CCUACGGGUGGCAGCAGUGGGGAAUAUUGCACAAUGGGGGAAACCCUGAUGCAGCGACGCCGCGUGAGUGAAGAAGCGUUUCGGCGCGUAAAGCUCUGUCAGCGGGGAAGAAACACGGUUCGCGAGAGCCGCGGACGGUACCCGACCAAGAAGCCCCGGCUAACUACGUGCCAGCAGCCGCGGUAAUACGUAGGGGGCAAGCGUUAUCCGGAUUCACUGGGUGUAAAGGGCGUGUAGGCGGGAAAGCAAGUCAGAUGUGAAAACUCAGGGCUCAACCCUGAGCCUGCAUUUGAAACUGUUUGUCUUGAGUGCUGGAGAGGCAAUCGGAAUUCCGGGUGUAGCGGUGAAAUGCGUAGAUAUACGGAGGAACACCAGUGGCGAAGGCGGAUUGCUGGACAGUAACUGACGCUGAGGCGCGAAAGCGUGGGGAGCAAACAGGAUUAGAUACCCGGGUAGUC